rnacentral:lncRNA from 1 species
UGUAGUUUGCAUGGAUAUACGUGAAAGUUCACAAACCCUGGACACAGCCAAACAUUUUUUUUUUUUAAAAUCAGAAUCUUAUUAAUACCAAUGAGAAGAUUAAGCAAAAUGUCCAAAUACAAGAUACUAAAAAAUCCAUGUGUUUAUCCUUACCAGAUACAAUUUGCAAGAAAGGUGUGGAGGGACACACAGAAAAAUACUGCUCAUAAUACCAACAAAACUAUAAAUUACCUAAGAAUUAUCCUUGCAAAGUCUAUAUAUUUGGUGCAGUAAUUAGAUGGAUAUAAUCUCGUGUCUUGUCUGACUAUGGAAGACAUUGACUGUGUAAUAGGAUGCUGGCAUUGAGAAACAGUGAAGUAGAGAGACACAUGGUAACACAAUGUUGGGGCACACAUAAGUAAUAGAUAUGUAUAGCAUAAUUUUAUGUAUAAUAAAUGAGUGAUACUAGAAAGCCCUAGAGUUUCAUGGAUUAACUUAACUCACUCUAUGUGAGUUUAGAAUAAAGAAAAAUAAAAAAAAUUCCUAGAAGAUCUCUCUCAAUGUUUAAUGAUUAAAACUCAAAAAGGAACAUCACAGCUCAUCAAGUACACCAUCUUAUUUAACAGAUGAGAAGAUUUAGUCGUCAAGGUCACAUAUCAUUAAUGACUGGUCUUUCAGUUCCCAGUGGAACUCUCUCUUCUGUCCUCCGUGACCUUUCUACUUGAGAAAUGCUCUUCCCAAGAAUGUGCCACCCCUUGGUACCCGCAAUGAAUUUACAUUUUCAGCUUCAUUAAAUAAAAUGCCACCCACCAGAGACAGAUAUCUGAGUUACAUGAUGUUUUCACUGUACUGCAGUGGAUUCAGUUAUGAGAGUAUGAUUUAAAAAAAUUGUCCAGGAAAAAAAAAAAAGAAAAGAAAUGCAUGAGUGUGUAUGUGAAGGACCUAAUGAAAACAACUCUGUUAAUCACUUGAAUGGAAACAGUAAAAAUUUUAGGAAUGAGUUAUGUCUUUCUGAAUUGAAUCUCAUGGUGAAGUGGUUUUAAUCUGUGCAGGCCCUUUGCAGUUAAAGCCCACAUGUCUUUGCGCUAGCUUGCUUUUUAACAUUCCAAGUGUCUUCAGGCCAAUAUUUGGGGUACCAUCUCAACUUGUGACCCAUUACAGCUGCUAAGCCAUUAUUGUCUGCUUUCUUUAAACCAAACAAACAAAAAAAAUGUGUUAAUUACUUACUGAUUCAUUGAGGGGCAUUACUAUUAAUUUUAAUGAGUUACUCUUUAACUCUUAGACUGUCUCCAGAAUUUUAAUAAACAUGACCUGAAAUCAUAAUGACCAUUGGACAGAUGAAAAAAAAUGAACUUCAGGGUAGUUUAGUAAGCUGCCCGUCAUGGAGUGGAGUUAGAUCUUCAACCCAAAUCCAAAGCCUUAUUCUACACCACAGUAUAAUACAUAUUCUAAUACUGAUCAGAGAUAUUACAGAUGCAUAUCAAAAUAUGGCUGGCCUUUCCUGAUGCAACACAGAGGUGCAUUCUCUAGAUGGGAAGAAUCAAUUUAAAAUUACUCUGAAUUCAUCUGCAAGGGAAACGAGUGCAAUGCUAUUCUGCCACAACUGCAAAGUAACUUAAACUAGUGUACACAGAGUUGCUGAUCUGUGUAAAAUGAUGCCCUGAUGUUUCUAGCAUCAGCAGGAUAAUGCAAGAUAUUUAAAAGGCAAUACUAAUGAUUAAAAAGGUAACAAGCAACUCCUAUGUGUCCCAGGGGAUGAUAUUUAUUGAAGAGAAUAUAAAGGGGCAUAAACUUAAGGUCAAAACUGAAGUAUUCAAACCAGAGGGAUAUGUUUCCAAAAAAAGAGAGCUGACUCCAUUCAAACAGAGAUCCAUCAGAGAGAAAACUAAGGGGAUAUUUUAUGAAGAGGGACUCCUGGAUAGUAACUGGCAUUUGCCUUGAUGUUUUACCCGUGUCUUUAAACUCCUUGUCAUUGGUGUUGGUGAAAGCCAUUGAAAAAAAGAUGCUAUAAUGAGGAACUCUUGUCAGUGUUUGGAGAGCACAAAGUAUGGCUCCAGAAGGCACAGAGUUUGUAUUAUGGCUCCAUUCCUUUUUCAUUGUUAGACCUUGGGAAUUUUUUUCUAAUUCUCUGAAGUUCAGUUUUCUCUGCAGUAAAAUGGAAUAACAAAAAAUAUUGAUUUUGUAUAGUUGUGAAUCUCAAAUGAAUUAAGGUAUGUAAUCUUCUACAACUGUGUUUUAAAGUUACCCUCUGUUGUUACUGACAGUAUUAAUAAUGCAUCCAACUGAUGUGAUACAGAGGGACUAUGAAAAACAGAAAAUAAUUCUGAUAAAAUAUUCAAAUAGAGCAGAAUUUUAAAAAGUGCUUUAUGAGACUAAAAACACCAAAUCUUUUUUCAAACACAGAAAGGGCUGGCGAAGAAAUGGUCACAAACUAGGUUGUGUGGUAUAGGUCAUAAUGAUAUAACAGGCUAUGUUGACUGAGCUUGAGGUCAAAUUCUCUUAAGUUGGCAUGUGGAUUUAACCUUUGACUGACCACCCUUCUACCAGUCAAAGGAUAUUCCAGAAAGUUAAGUCAUAAAAUUUCAGGUGGCACAUGAAACAGUUUUAGGUGGCUUCUAGAGGAGUAUUUGAACUAUGUCUAAAAGUAGUUCAACUAUGUAUGACAGUGAGGUUGAUGAGGGAAGCACAUGGCUGCCGGACCCUAAAACAGAUAGCUCAUAUGAGGUAGAAGUUCAUGAUGAAUUGCAUGGCCCAAGAACUAGUAUCUGGGAGUCAGAGAUGAAAGGUGAGACUGGACAGUGCUUCUCUGGACACUGCUCCUCUAUCUUUCUCACUGAGGAAUAACUAUGCCCCAGGAGACAAAAAGUCUAUAGAUUCAGAAAAGCCACCAAAGGUCCUUCAAGCAUAGCUGUGAGUUGAGAGUCAAUGUGGAAUAGGAAAUAGAUGGGACACUGCCUACCUCUCAAGGACAGAUGAGAAUAGUGGGACACUGUCUGCUUCUAAGAAGUCCCCUAGAGGUGGGGACACCUUAAUUACCAGCUCGUUCAUGCAGGCUGACUUUUUAUAUUUGUUACUGCUCUCUCAUCUGGUGAGAGCUCUUUUCACCCUCAAAAGUGUCCAAGUUUAUGACAGAGAGACCAUACCAAAAAGUAAAUUGUCUUCUUGAAAGAGUUUAAGGGACAUUCAAAAUGUGAACUUUUAUUAUGUUUGGGAAUCUCAAAAAUAGCUGAACAUUCUUUAAUAUGUUUCAUGAUUUAAUGAUUUGUGUGAUUUAAAAAAUUUUUAAAUUAGAAUAUAGUAGAUUUACAGUAUUGUGAAUAUUUUAAAAGACCUAUCCUGCUGAUCAGAACACGCAGGCUUGGUACACAAGAUUAGGACAGUUACUCUAUAUGGGUGUCUAAAGAGCCAGAUGAAAUGUGGGGUUUCUAAAUUACAAAUGCUAUAGAUAUUUGGAGAGAAAGAAAAACUCAAUAUCGAAGCUCAUCUUAAGGAAGGCAAUGAUGGGGCAAAGCUUUUGUUGCUUGGGCAGACCCAAGAGAGGAAUAGGUGGAUUAGGAAAGGAACUCUAUUUGGAUGUAGAAUAUCAGAUGAUCCUUGAACCUGAAUCUCUAGGAACAUACUUCUUCGUCUAGCCUAGUCUCAGGAUGCUUGAAAAUGUGGAAAGCCUAGAGCUGAUUUCAGGUAGCAUAUGCCUCCCUUAUCUUCAGUUUAUCCCUUUCAGUGCUGAGUAAAAGAGUCUUUCAUUGCAUUUACCUCUGGGUAUACUGAACUGAGCACACUAUUCUUAAGUUACUAGUUCCCAACUCCAAAAUUUCUGAUUCUGAAAAGAUAUGAAUACUAUUUUUUGACAUUUUGUAAUUUUUGAUAUGUCAGAGAAAUUUCAUUCUGCUACAAGGCUGAACAACUAAACAGACAUAAAGAUUAUUUAAUUACUAUGCCAAAUCAUUGUGGUAGAACUGGCUAUCUUAGGCAUAUCAGAGUACCAAUUGAUAUUAUUAUAUUUUUAUUUAUUAAUAAAAAAUCAUUAUAAUAAAUAAAAAUAAUAAUAAACACAGUUUCUCUGAAUGACAAAAUAUUUUAUACUCCGUGGUCCAUGGUGUGAUAAAAGGGAUUAGGAAAAGAUACCAUUAGCUAAGUGGAGUCAGACCUAGGUUUUCAUCAUAGUUCCAUUCUGUUCUCUGUGUGAUCUUUGACAUUUACUUAGUAUCUCUUAACCUUGAUUUCUCUGUACCUUCUGAGAAAAUGAUGUAUGAGAAAUAAAUUACAUAUAUUUGUAACAACUAGCAGUAUGAUAGCAUGUAGCAACCAUUCAAUAAAUGAAUUAAGACAUAUUCCCUUUACCCUGAUUAAUAUCAAUUCAAAUAAAUAAAACUGGAUUUUUUACCUUGUUAUCCCAUUUUCAU